AUUGAACGCUGGCGGCAUGCUUUACACAUGCAAGUCGAACGGCAGCGCGGGCUUCGGCCUGGCGGCGAGUGGCGAACGGGUGAGUAAUGCAUCGGAACAUGCCCAGUAGUGGGGGAUAGCCCGGCGAAAGCCGGAUUAAUACCGCAUACGACCUGAGGGUGAAAGCGGGGGACCGAAAGGCCUCGCGCUAUUGGAGCGGCCGAUGUCGGAUUAGCUAGUUGGUGGGGUAAAGGCUUACCAAGGCGACGAUCCGUAGCUGGUCUGAGAGGACGACCAGCCACACUGGGACUGAGACACGGCCCAGACUCCUACGGGAGGCAGCAGUGGGGAAUUUUGGACAAUGGGGGCAACCCUGAUCCAGCCAUGCCGCGUGCGGGAAGAAGGCCUUCGGGUUGUAAACCGCUUUUGUUCGGGAAGAAAUCCUCUGGGCUAAUACCCCGGGGGGAUGACGGUACCGGAAGAAUAAGCACCGGCUAACUACGUG
rnacentral:rRNA from 1 species